AUGUGGUCCUGUUGUUGCAAGGUAUCACAAUUUGUGUGGACCCCUACGCAUCAUGGGGUCCUACACCCAACUAAGCCUUGCAGUACUAUUUCUUUUUAAAACAUUUAUUUAAAUUUUUAAAUUGCUUCUCGAGUCUCUUUUACGUGUCAAAUUACAGUUUAAUACAUAUUGAAAUAAUUUAUUAAUUAGGGUUUUUUCUAUUUUAUUGAGUAUGCUUUGCAUCUAAAAA
rnacentral:lncRNA from 1 species